rnacentral:rRNA from 1 species
CCUACGGGAGGCUGCAGUGGGGAAUAUUGCACAAUGGGCGCAAGCCUGAUGCAGCCAUGCCGCGUGUGUGAAGAAGGCCUUCGGGUUGUAAAGCACUUUCAGCGGGGAGGAAGGCGUUAAGGUUAAUAACCUUGUCGAUUGACGUUACCCGCAGAAGAAGCACCGGCUAACUCCGUGCCAGCAGCCGCGGUGAUACGGAGGGUGCAAGGGUUAAUCGGAAUUACUGGGCGUAAAGCGCACGCAGGCGGUCUGUCAAGUCGGAUGUGAAAUCCCCGGGCUCAACCUGGGAACUGCAUUCGAAACUGGGAGGCUAGAGUCUUGGAGAGGGGGGUAGAAUUCCAGGUGUAGCGGUGAAAUGCGUAGAGAUCUGGAGGAAUACCGGUGGCGAAGGCGGCCCCCUGGACAAAGACUGACGCUCAGGUGCGAAAGCGUGGGGAGCAAACAGGAUUAGAUACCCUAGUAGUC